AAUGAAGUGCCUGAAAAAGGAUAAUUUUGAUAGAAUUGGUCAUGUGGCCCGGCACCACCUUCAUUU
rnacentral:tRNA from 1 species